UACGUAGGUGACAAGCGUUGUCCGGAUUUACUGGGCGUAAAGAGCGCGCAGGCGGUCGAUCAAGUCGAGUGUGAAAGCCCCCGGCUCAACUGGGGGGGGUCAUUCGAUACUGAUCGACUGGAAGGCAGGAGAGGGAAGCGGAAUUCCCGGUGUAGUGGUGAAAUGCGUAGAUAUCGGGAGGAACACCAGUGGCGAAGGCGGCUUCCUGGCCUGUUCUUGACGCUGAGGCGCGAAAGCUAGGGGAGCAAACGGG
rnacentral:rRNA from 1 species